AACGGCCAUACCAUGCUGAAUAUACCGGUUCUCGUUAGAUCACCGAAGUCAAGUCUCAUCGAGCGCGGUCAUUACUUGGGUGGGUGACCACCUAGGAACACCGCGUGCCGUU
rnacentral:rRNA from 1 species